rnacentral:rRNA from 1 species
AUUGAACGCUGGCGGCAGGCCUAACACAUGCAAGUCGAGCGGUAGAGAGGUGCUUGCAUCUCUUGAGAGCGGCGGACGGGUGAGUAAUGCCUAGGAAUCUGCCUAGUGGUGGGGGAUAACGUUCGGAAACGGACGCUAAUACCGCAUACGUCCUACGGGAGAAAGCGGGGGAUCUUCGGACCUCGCGCCAUUAGAUGAGCCUAGGUCGGAUUAGCUAGUUGGUGAGGUAAUGGCCCACCAAGCCGACGAUCUGUAGCUGGUCUGAGAGGACGACCAGCCACACUGGGACUGAGACACGGCCCAGACUCCUACGGGAGGCAGCAGUGGGGGAAUUUUUGGACAAUGGGCGCAAGCCUGAUCCAGCAAUGCCGCCGUGCAGGAUGAAGGCCU